GGGGCUGUAGUUCAGUGGUAGAGCACUUGCCUUGCAUGUGUGAGGCAAUGGGUUCGAUCCUCAGCACCA
rnacentral:tRNA from 1 species